GUCUUCCCACUAGACCCUGCUCGCUGGGGACUCUCAGAGUCGCGGGAGCGUCAUCUCUGCUCUAAUUAAGCUGGCCACCUUCUUUUUCUUUAGGACGCCACCGAAAGGAAACGCGGGGAGCAUUUCUGAGCCUUUGGGGAAUCCCGGGGAAAGAAGGGGAGGUGGAGCCAGCCAAUGACCCGGAAGCAGAAGUGACUCCCACCGACAGAGUGCUGGGGAGCGGCAGCAGCCACCACAGCGGUAGAAGCAGCAAUUUAUCUGUGUGCAGACCCAAUAUCGGAAGAAGAUGCUAAUUAAAGUGAAGACGCUGACCGGAAAGGAGAUUGAGAUUGACAUUGAACCCACAGAUAAAGUGGAACGAAUCAAGGAACGUGUGGAAGAGAAAGCC